AUUACACUCUGACACGUAGCUGACAAGGACGGCGAGUGACAAGCGCCCUUUUAAAAUCGUCCGCUCGCGUCAAAUUAUUUCUCUCGGAAUACUCGGCGAAGGGAGUGCGACAUGAAAAAAAAAAAAAUGUGUCAUGAAAGCCAAGGAAUCGUUACCACAAGUGUCCUCCUUUAACGCCGUCGUGUUAAAAACACAUUGGUUGGACAAUUACAUGAAAGGAACUUGGAGCCCUCAGGUGUGUUUCUGCUUGACUCCUCGCCUCGUGUGAUGACUUGACACUAGCCUCCAGUGGAAGUGAAGAUGUUCUGCAGUAGCGUGUGACUUCAACAACACCAUCAGUGAAUACAAACAAAGGCCAGUAUUGCGACUUUAUUCAGUUUGUCCUUCAUAUGACACCAGUGAUUGGCCGUCCAGUCCACAUUUCAAAGCAGGAAGGUUUGGUUUGUGACGAGAAAUGUUUGAAACCAGGAGAUGGAAGUAGUCAGCUCAAGUCCACCAAUUUGUGGAGAGGUAAUGUCAAAAGAAGAGUUGGCCAAGUAGGCCGAGUCAGAAAAAAACCCCAAAAUUAUUUGAUAUAAAUGGAUUAAGAAAUAUUCUCAUUUGUUUGAAUCUAAAGUUAUUCUCAUAAAGAUGUGACAUUGUUCUUCUACUUUAUUUGUUUGUGUAACCUGACGACUUUUGCCAACAAAAAAAUUACAACUACACUGA